UUCUAAAAUGAGUUCAAGAAAUCAAUGAUUAAUAAAAAAAACGUUAAAAAACCAUUUAAAAAUACAUAAUUGCUGCUGAUUGGAUACCUUUGAAUUCUAAAUUUUCAGCAAAAAGACUUUCCGACACUUGGAAGUAAUUUUCAGAGAAAUCGCCAAAACUCUCUGAAAAAUGAGAAACCAUGAAAAUACAUAUAAUUUUUAAAGACAUCACUGAAUUCUCGAAUUUCAGCGAAAUUCAAGGACUUUCCGACACUUGUAAAUGAUUUUCGGAGCAAUAAUCGCUGAAAGUCUCUGAAAAGUGAGAAACCAUGAAAAUAUAAUUUUUAGAGACAUCUCUAAAUUUUAGAAUUUCAGCGAAAUUUAAAGACUUUUCAACACUUGUAAAUAAUUUUUAGAGAAAUUGCUGAAAGUCUCUGAAAAAUGAGAAACCAUGAAAAUAUAAUUUUUAGAGACAUGAUCUCUAAAUUUUAGAAUUUCAGCGAAAUUCAAAGAUUUUCAGACACUUGUGAAUGAUUUUCAGAGAAAUCGCUGACAGUCUCUGAAAAGUAAGAAACCAUGAAAGUAUAUAAUUUUCAGCAUCACUAAAAUCUCGAAUUUCAGCGAAAUUCAAUAACUUUUAGAUACUUUAUAAAUGAUUUUCGGAGAUAUCAUUGAAAGUCUGAAUUUUCUUGAAAAAGGCUCUGAUUCUUACUGAAAAUCCCUGAAAAAUGUUUUCAGAUUUUUUCAGCGAAAUUUUCAAAAAAAUUCAGAAAAAAUUUUUCAUCAGGGAUCGAAUUUCCAUCAACGGCAUUUCCAUCAGCAAUAAGAUGAAUAUAAUGUUCGCGAUAUGUAACGAUUUGCUAGAACCAUCCAGCGAGGUUGUCUGCACACCGUGUGCAGGGCAUGUUUUUCAUCAUGUGUGUUUAAUCCAAUGGCUCGAAAGAACUAAAACAUAUCCAUAUUGUCGAAGAAGGACAACCGAAGAGAACACAAGAUACAUUUCAAUUUCUUAAAUAAUAAUACCAUUGCAAAAGAUAUGCCAUAUGAAAGGCCAAUGAGAAGUUGAAGAAGAUUGAAGAUUUGAAGAAAAGUGUAGAACAUACAUGAAUUAGUAUGUAAAGUUUGUAUCUCCCGUGAAAUAAAUUUAGAUUAUGAGAAA